GAUAAGCCCUAAGAGCAUGUCCAUCGGGGCUCCUUACGCGGAGGUACUUAAAAAAAAGGGAAGAAAAAUAAAUCAAAAUUGAAAAGAAAACAGAGGAGCGCUACUUAAAUUGGUAUUUUUGGGUUUGGUAAGGAUCCCUACGUGGCGCGCUACUACUGGACCACACCUUAAUGUGUCUCUCUCCUUCGUCGGUUUUUCUCCCCCGAAAUCAGUUUUGUUUCUCUUCAUCUUCGAAAGGCGAUCUCUCGCGACUGCUUCCAUCUCCGUCAAUUCGCCGUCGAUUCUCCGUCUCUCCAUCUCUCCAUCGUUUCUCUCCCAUGCACUGAGGUGAUGAUGAAAAUCAGAAGAUAGAAGAAAGUUCUUCACAGGAAUCAGCUUCAAGAGAAACCAAGGAUCCAUGAAAGGAUCAAAGUCAUACAAGAGGCGAGAUAAGAUGCGCGUGGAAGAAAGGCAACAGAUUCAUGGUCAUCAACGUGCUGCAUAGUAAAGGAAGUUUCCUUUAUAAGUUGUGUUUCCUCCGGGUGUAAAAUAACAUUUCUCUUAUAACAUUUUUUCAAAAAAAUUCCUCUGCUUCUUUUCUUUUCGAAUGUAGAAGAACAAGUUUGAAGCUCUUUUAUUUGUUUAAAAAAAAUUUAUUUUUUAAGUACCCCAA